AGCAAGAUCUAAAACCAUAGUGCGCUAAGAAGAAUUUGUCAGAGAGCAAGGAUCCACGCAGAUCUUUGGGCGAGAAGUUUUACGUGAGUCAGGCUUACUUCUGUUUCUUAGUGAAUAGUUAAAAACUGAUUAUCCUAGAUGCACGUGGUUGUUUUAGUUUUCAUCGGAGUUCAGAGUUAUAAGCACACAAUCGAUCCUGUGAUCGAGUCAGUCUUCUUUCAUCGUCUCUUAUUUUGCAUUUUGUGUUGAGAUGACUGUUAAAAUCGUGGCAUUGUGAUUUCAAUGGUGUUCCUUGGCGGAUCACACGUCGCUGAGUACAUGUGUCAGAACAAAUUAUUCUUGCAGCACUGUAGUUGUCUUGUAUACAUAAGUAAGCAGAUCCUCUCCUCAUUAGCAAGUUGAUUUAGUUUAUUUGGAAACCACAUUCGGUGAAUUGUAGAAAAUGUCUCUGCCUUGAGUUUAUUAUGAUGAACAAAAGUGUUCGUGUGAAGACGUUGUUGGGAUGGUGACUUUUGCUGUAAAAUUACUUACAAGUUCAGAAAGCAGAAUUCUUUGAUUUUAGAAAGCCUAGAAAAAUUAUUUAUAUUUUAAGAUUGGUGCAGGCUUUUGUUAGCAAAAAUGGAAUUUUCAAAUCAAGGCUUACCCUAUCAGUUUUUGAGGCUUGUGUCUCAUAGAGUGGAGACUACAGCAUUUAGACACUCUAUUCGUGUGGGAGAGACAUGUGACUGUUGUAUGAAGCUCUUGAACAACUAGUAUACCAGUUGUUUGAUAUAUUGUCUUUGACAGGAACUUAAUACACCAUUUAACAUUUUCAAAAAGGGUACAUUCUCUGGAAACUGGAGCUAUGUUAAAUUAAAGCCAACGUUAUUGAAUGGAAGUUAUACAGUGUCGUACAUAUUAGGAUGGUGGGGGAAAGGGGGAGCUAACUUAUCGCAAAACCGAAGUGAAAUUUAUACAAUGUUGUACAUACAUUUUACUUGCUAGAUAGAUUGGCAACCCAUCAGUGUGUCACCUGCAUAACUGUGCGCACGAGAUAAUUAUUAAAGUACACAUGGCAGAUCAAAUUCCACCCUUACCAGGGAAAUUUUAGAAGGGCAAAAAUGUCCUGCUGUGCUGUAGAUUUUUUUUUUGCAUUACGUAAGUAUGCAGAUUUGCCGAAGACUGUAUUUCCUGUGGGUUGGUUAGAAAAUAAUUUAGUUUGGAAAUAGAGGCCAUCAGGAACCAUAUACUUUAUUUUUAGACGUUCAGGCUUUGAUUGGAAAAAAUGGAAUUUCAGCAUCAAGGCAUGUUUACAGGAUGUCGUAAAACCAGCAACCUUUCAAUUAGCGAGUUGUUUGUGUGCAUUCUACAGUGGGGUAAAGCAAUUGUGAGGGAGUUUAAUGGUGUUUAAUUUUUUUGGGUUUGUACAGACCUUUCACAUUCGAGUUUAAAAAAAAGUAAGUUUAUGUAUGCAUGAAUGUCAAUGGAAAAAAGAAACCAAAAGAAUGUUGAAAAGAAACCAUUCCGAAGUGGAAACUCUCAUGGAGAAUGCAAAAUUUGGUGGAAACAUAAGCCAUACCUAUGUUAGUGAAUGGAAGUUAUAGGAUGUUAUACAUAUAUUGAACUUGCUCCACACAUUAGCAAGUCAUUAGUGUGUCUUAUUUUUAGCCGACUAAAUCCACAGCUUUUCAAGUGUUACACCAUUCAGGAUUACUUUCGUUUCUUAGUGUUAAUAGUUACAGAUGGUUAAAGACUGAUUGAUGUAAUAAGAUAUCCUAGAUGCACCUGGUGGUUUUUAACUUUUAUCCUAGUUCGGAGUUAUAAGCACACAAUCACUUGAAAUGUCCCUGUGGAAAUGAUGGAUCCCAAAGUGAUCAUGGUGUUAUUACUGUUCUUACUGUUUUUAAGUUAUUAUGAUUAUAUUUAUUUGUUUGUUUUGAAAUAUUCACUUCAUGGGUGCCUUUUUCAUUUCAGAUCGUUGGGUUUCAUGGCACAGGAGCUGUAGUGAGAUGUUUUGAGGAUAGAAAAGAGAAUGAACAUGACCUGAUUUUUCAAAUCGGCAAUGUUUGAGAUUUUUUCCCAAAAUGUCCUCAAGAAAAUAAAAAGAAGAAAAAAAGGGCAUACCAAUGUCUAAGGUAAGUCUCUGAACAUUCAGAAUAAUAGAAUACUGAUACUCUUUCUAGGUUAAGAGAAAUGGUAAUGACAAACACGCCAGCCCCACGCAGUUUUAAAAAUGGACCUUGCAUUUUCUAUCAAAUUUGCCAUAUUGGACGCACGUAUUUCCUCAGACUGGUGACUCAUUUAAUGAUUACCUAACGACCUAUUUUCAGAGGCUUUUCACAUAAACUUUAUUGGACAAAGACUAUAAAUAUAGAUACAGAUAAGAAUAUCAAUGAAAUGAAUAAAGCCCAAAAGGAGAGGGCUCGAACAGGACACUGAGACCCAUGUGAGGCACCUACCCAUCGUGUAGACUUCAUUUUGGUCAAAAUUAUAUGGUGAAAGGAUUUUAAACUGACAACAAAAAACGGUGAACCAUGUGGAUGGAAAAACUGAAAUUUUAAUAGUCAAGUUAGAAAAGUACCUUGAAAACAGAUUUCACAACUACAAUGGGACAUUCAAGUAGCGAAGAAUGACCUGAUUCUGUAGAAAAUAAAGAAGUUCUGCAAGGUGAAAUCUAGGUAGUUAAAUAUUAAGCUUUUUGUGCGCUUCAAUGCAACCGCACGAGACACAGCUGACAGCAACUUUCAUAUGAUGUGAGUAAAGAAUUUCUCCCUAGCUGAUGUGACAAUAUUGUGUGCGAGGUAUUCUUCAGUUAUGUUUGCUUUUCAUGACAACAGUUUUGUUGAUUUUUUUUGUUCGUUUGUUCACAAGAUUGCUUGGCGUUUCUUACAGGAUUGCUUGGCAGCAAGAACAGAUGUCUAACCAUGGUGAGGAGGUAGGGGUUUAAACUGUAUUUACUUUCAGUAUCUAACUUCGUUUUGCUAUCUCGUAUCUACACCAGGUUCGCUUUUCCUAGGCUAACGAUCAGGAGCAGAUGUCCGCCAUGGUGAGGAGGUAGGGUUCGAAUGCAACAAACGACAAUUGAAUUGCUCUUUACUGCAACUGUAUCUUUAUUUAUUUUCUUACUUAACUUCAUUUUACCAUCUCUUAUCUACAUCUCGUUUGUUUUUUCUAGGUUAAUGAGGAGGAGCAGAUGUCUAGUCAUGGUGAAGAGGUAAGGGUUUAAAUGGAACAAAAUACAAUUGUAUUGCUCUUUAUGACAACUGUAGCUGUAUUUAUUUUCUGUAUCUUACUUCGUUUUACCAGCUCUUAGUUUUCCACUACGUACCAUGAAAGUAAAUGCAAUAAAGAAGUGAUUGUUAAAUCAUGCCAUUGGGUUUCAACAGCGGUUCUCGGCUGAUCGCACAUCGCAGUCGGGAUUGCGACAGUGCAAAAAAAUUACAACAGCAAGAUCUAAAACCAUAGUGCGCUAAGAAGAAUUUGUCAGAGAGCAAGGAUCCACGCAGAUCUUUGGGCGAGAAGUUUUACGUGAGUCAGGCUUACUUCUGUUUCUUAGUGAAUAGUUAAAAACUGAUUAUCCUAGAUGCACGUGGUUGUUUUAGUUUUCAUCGGAGUUCAGAGUUAUAAGCACACAAUCGAUCCUGUGAUCGAGUCAGUCUUCUUUCAUCGUCUCUUAUUUUGCAUUUUGUGUUGAGAUGACUGUUAAAAUCGUGGCAUUGUGAUUUCAAUGGUGUUCCUUGGCGGAUCACACGUCGCUGAGUACAUGUGUCAGAACAAAUUAUUCUUGCAGCACUGUAGUUGUCUUGUAUACAUAAGUAAGCAGAUCCUCUCCUCAUUAGCAAGUUGAUUUAGUUUAUUUGGAAACCACAUUCGGUGAAUUGUAGAAAAUGUCUCUGCCUUGAGUUUAUUAUGAUGAACAAAAGUGUUCGUGUGAAGACGUUGUUGGGAUGGUGACUUUUGCUGUAAAAUUACUUACAAGUUCAGAAAGCAGAAUUCUUUGAUUUUAGAAAGCCUAGAAAAAUUAUUUAUAUUUUAAGAUUGGUGCAGGCUUUUGUUAGCAAAAAUGGAAUUUUCAAAUCAAGGCUUACCCUAUCAGUUUUUGAGGCUUGUGUCUCAUAGAGUGGAGACUACAGCAUUUAGACACUCUAUUCGUGUGGGAGAGACAUGUGACUGUUGUAUGAAGCUCUUGAACAACUAGUAUACCAGUUGUUUGAUAUAUUGUCUUUGACAGGAACUUAAUACACCAUUUAACAUUUUCAAAAAGGGUACAUUCUCUGGAAACUGGAGCUAUGUUAAAUUAAAGCCAACGUUAUUGAAUGGAAGUUAUACAGUGUCGUACAUAUUAGGAUGGUGGGGGAAAGGGGGAGCUAACUUAUCGCAAAACCGAAGUGAAAUUUAUACAAUGUUGUACAUACAUUUUACUUGCUAGAUAGAUUGGCAACCCAUCAGUGUGUCACCUGCAUAACUGUGCGCACGAGAUAAUUAUUAAAGUACACAUGGCAGAUCAAAUUCCACCCUUACCAGGGAAAUUUUAGAAGGGCAAAAAUGUCCUGCUGUGCUGUAGAUUUUUUUUUUGCAUUACGUAAGUAUGCAGAUUUGCCGAAGACUGUAUUUCCUGUGGGUUGGUUAGAAAAUAAUUUAGUUUGGAAAUAGAGGCCAUCAGGAACCAUAUACUUUAUUUUUAGACGUUCAGGCUUUGAUUGGAAAAAAUGGAAUUUCAGCAUCAAGGCAUGUUUACAGGAUGUCGUAAAACCAGCAACCUUUCAAUUAGCGAGUUGUUUGUGUGCAUUCUACAGUGGGGUAAAGCAAUUGUGAGGGAGUUUAAUGGUGUUUAAUUUUUUUGGGUUUGUACAGACCUUUCACAUUCGAGUUUAAAAAAAAGUAAGUUUAUGUAUGCAUGAAUGUCAAUGGAAAAAAGAAACCAAAAGAAUGUUGAAAAGAAACCAUUCCGAAGUGGAAACUCUCAUGGAGAAUGCAAAAUUUGGUGGAAACAUAAGCCAUACCUAUGUUAGUGAAUGGAAGUUAUAGGAUGUUAUACAUAUAUUGAACUUGCUCCACACAUUAGCAAGUCAUUAGUGUGUCUUAUUUUUAGCCGACUAAAUCCACAGCUUUUCAAGUGUUACACCAUUCAGGAUUACUUUUGUUUCUUAGUGUUAAUAGUUACAGAUGGUUAAAGACUGAUUGAUGUAAUAAGAUAUCCUAGAUGCACCUGGUGGUUUUUAACUUUUAUCCUAGUUCGGAGUUAUAAGCACACAAUCACUUGAAAUGUCCCUGUGGAAAUGAUGGAUCCCAAAGUGAUCAUGGUGUUAUUACUGUUCUUACUGUUUUUAAGUUAUUAUGAUUAUAUUUAUUUGUUUGUUUUGAAAUAUUCACUUCAUGGGUGCCUUUUUCAUUUCAGAUCGUUGGGUUUCAUGGCACAGGAGCUGUAGUGAGAUGUUUUGAGGAUAGAAAAGAGAAUGAACAUGACCUGAUUUUUCAAAUCGGCAAUGUUUGAGAUUUUUUCCCAAAAUGUCCUCAAGAAAAUAAAAAGAAGAAAAAAAGGGCAUACCAAUGUCUAAGGUAAGUCUCUGAACAUUCAGAAUAAUAGAAUACUGAUACUCUUUCUAGGUUAAGAGAAAUGGUAAUGACAAACACGCCAGCCCCACGCAGUUUUAAAAAUGGACCUUGCAUUUUCUAUCAAAUUUGCCAUAUUGGACGCACGUAUUUCCUCAGACUGGUGACUCAUUUAAUGAUUACCUAACGACCUAUUUUCAGAGGCUUUUCACAUAAACUUUAUUGGACAAAGACUAUAAAUAUAGAUACAGAUAAGAAUAUCAAUGAAAUGAAUAAAGCCCAAAAGGAGAGGGCUCGAACAGGACACUGAGACCCAUGUGAGGCACCUACCCAUCGUGUAGACUUCAUUUUGGUCAAAAUUAUAUGGUGAAAGGAUUUUAAACUGACAACAAAAAACGGUGAACCAUGUGGAUGGAAAAACUGAAAUUUUAAUAGUCAAGUUAGAAAAGUACCUUGAAAACAGAUUUCACAACUACAAUGGGACAUUCAAGUAGCGAAGAAUGACCUGAUUCUGUAGAAAAUAAAGAAGUUCUGCAAGGUGAAAUCUAGGUAGUUAAAUAUUAAGCUUUUUGUGCGCUUCAAUGCAACCGCACGAGACACAGCUGACAGCAACUUUCAUAUGAUGUGAGUAAAGAAUUUCUCCCUAGCUGAUGUGACAAUAUUGUGUGCGAGGUAUUCUUCAGUUAUGUUUGCUUUUCAUGACAACAGUUUUGUUGAUUUUUUUUGUUCGUUUGUUCACAAGAUUGCUUGGCGUUUCUUACAGGAUUGCUUGGCAGCAAGAACAGAUGUCUAACCAUGGUGAGGAGGUAGGGGUUUAAACUGUAUUUACUUUCAGUAUCUAACUUCGUUUUGCUAUCUCGUAUCUACACCAGGUUCGCUUUUCCUAGGCUAACGAUCAGGAGCAGAUGUCCGCCAUGGUGAGGAGGUAGGGUUCGAAUGCAACAAACGACAAUUGAAUUGCUCUUUACUGCAACUGUAUCUUUAUUUAUUUUCUUACUUAACUUCAUUUUACCAUCUCUUAUCUACAUCUCGUUUGUUUUUUCUAGGUUAAUGAGGAGGAGCAGAUGUCUAGUCAUGGUGAAGAGGUAAGGGUUUAAAUGGAACAAAAUACAAUUGUAUUGCUCUUUAUGACAACUGUAGCUGUAUUUAUUUUCUGUAUCUUACUUCGUUUUACCAGCUCUUAGUUUUCCACUACGUACCAUGAAAGUAAAUGCAAUAAAGAAGUGAUUGUUAAAUCAUGCCAUUGGGUUUCAACAGCGGUUCUCGGCUGAUCGCACAUCGCAGUCGGGAUUGCGACAGUGCAAAAAAAUUACAACAGCAAGAUCUAAAACCAUAGUGCGCUAAGAAGAAUUUGUCAGAGAGCAAGGAUCCACGCAGAUCUUUGGGCGAGAAGUUUUACGUGAGUCAGGCUUACUUCUGUUUCUUAGUGAAUAGUUAAAAACUGAUUAUCCUAGAUGCACGUGGUUGUUUUAGUUUUCAUCGGAGUUCAGAGUUAUAAGCACACAAUCGAUCCUGUGAUCGAGUCAGUCUUCUUUCAUCGUCUCUUAUUUUGCAUUUUGUGUUGAGAUGACUGUUAAAAUCGUGGCAUUGUGAUUUCAAUGGUGUUCCUUGGCGGAUCACACGUCGCUGAGUACAUGUGUCAGAACAAAUUAUUCUUGCAGCACUGUAGUUGUCUUGUAUACAUAAGUAAGCAGAUCCUCUCCUCAUUAGCAAGUUGAUUUAGUUUAUUUGGAAACCACAUUCGGUGAAUUGUAGAAAAUGUCUCUGCCUUGAGUUUAUUAUGAUGAACAAAAGUGUUCGUGUGAAGACGUUGUUGGGAUGGUGACUUUUGCUGUAAAAUUACUUACAAGUUCAGAAAGCAGAAUUCUUUGAUUUUAGAAAGCCUAGAAAAAUUAUUUAUAUUUUAAGAUUGGUGCAGGCUUUUGUUAGCAAAAAUGGAAUUUUCAAAUCAAGGCUUACCCUAUCAGUUUUUGAGGCUUGUGUCUCAUAGAGUGGAGACUACAGCAUUUAGACACUCUAUUCGUGUGGGAGAGACAUGUGACUGUUGUAUGAAGCUCUUGAACAACUAGUAUACCAGUUGUUUGAUAUAUUGUCUUUGACAGGAACUUAAUACACCAUUUAACAUUUUCAAAAAGGGUACAUUCUCUGGAAACUGGAGCUAUGUUAAAUUAAAGCCAACGUUAUUGAAUGGAAGUUAUACAGUGUCGUACAUAUUAGGAUGGUGGGGGAAAGGGGGAGCUAACUUAUCGCAAAACCGAAGUGAAAUUUAUACAAUGUUGUACAUACAUUUUACUUGCUAGAUAGAUUGGCAACCCAUCAGUGUGUCACCUGCAUAACUGUGCGCACGAGAUAAUUAUUAAAGUACACAUGGCAGAUCAAAUUCCACCCUUACCAGGGAAAUUUUAGAAGGGCAAAAAUGUCCUGCUGUGCUGUAGAUUUUUUUUUUGCAUUACGUAAGUAUGCAGAUUUGCCGAAGACUGUAUUUCCUGUGGGUUGGUUAGAAAAUAAUUUAGUUUGGAAAUAGAGGCCAUCAGGAACCAUAUACUUUAUUUUUAGACGUUCAGGCUUUGAUUGGAAAAAAUGGAAUUUCAGCAUCAAGGCAUGUUUACAGGAUGUCGUAAAACCAGCAACCUUUCAAUUAGCGAGUUGUUUGUGUGCAUUCUACAGUGGGGUAAAGCAAUUGUGAGGGAGUUUAAUGGUGUUUAAUUUUUUUGGGUUUGUACAGACCUUUCACAUUCGAGUUUAAAAAAAAGUAAGUUUAUGUAUGCAUGAAUGUCAAUGGAAAAAAGAAACCAAAAGAAUGUUGAAAAGAAACCAUUCCGAAGUGGAAACUCUCAUGGAGAAUGCAAAAUUUGGUGGAAACAUAAGCCAUACCUAUGUUAGUGAAUGGAAGUUAUAGGAUGUUAUACAUAUAUUGAACUUGCUCCACACAUUAGCAAGUCAUUAGUGUGUCUUAUUUUUAGCCGACUAAAUCCACAGCUUUUCAAGUGUUACACCAUUCAGGAUUACUUUUGUUUCUUAGUGUUAAUAGUUACAGAUGGUUAAAGACUGAUUGAUGUAAUAAGAUAUCCUAGAUGCACCUGGUGGUUUUUAACUUUUAUCCUAGUUCGGAGUUAUAAGCACACAAUCACUUGAAAUGUCCCUGUGGAAAUGAUGGAUCCCAAAGUGAUCAUGGUGUUAUUACUGUUCUUACUGUUUUUAAGUUAUUAUGAUUAUAUUUAUUUGUUUGUUUUGAAAUAUUCACUUCAUGGGUGCCUUUUUCAUUUCAGAUCGUUGGGUUUCAUGGCACAGGAGCUGUAGUGAGAUGUUUUGAGGAUAGAAAAGAGAAUGAACAUGACCUGAUUUUUCAAAUCGGCAAUGUUUGAGAUUUUUUCCCAAAAUGUCCUCAAGAAAAUAAAAAGAAGAAAAAAAGGGCAUACCAAUGUCUAAGGUAAGUCUCUGAACAUUCAGAAUAAUAGAAUACUGAUACUCUUUCUAGGUUAAGAGAAAUGGUAAUGACAAACACGCCAGCCCCACGCAGUUUUAAAAAUGGACCUUGCAUUUUCUAUCAAAUUUGCCAUAUUGGACGCACGUAUUUCCUCAGACUGGUGACUCAUUUAAUGAUUACCUAACGACCUAUUUUCAGAGGCUUUUCACAUAAACUUUAUUGGACAAAGACUAUAAAUAUAGAUACAGAUAAGAAUAUCAAUGAAAUGAAUAAAGCCCAAAAGGAGAGGGCUCGAACAGGACACUGAGACCCAUGUGAGGCACCUACCCAUCGUGUAGACUUCAUUUUGGUCAAAAUUAUAUGGUGAAAGGAUUUUAAACUGACAACAAAAAACGGUGAACCAUGUGGAUGGAAAAACUGAAAUUUUAAUAGUCAAGUUAGAAAAGUACCUUGAAAACAGAUUUCACAACUACAAUGGGACAUUCAAGUAGCGAAGAAUGACCUGAUUCUGUAGAAAAUAAAGAAGUUCUGCAAGGUGAAAUCUAGGUAGUUAAAUAUUAAGCUUUUUGUGCGCUUCAAUGCAACCGCACAAGACAUAGCUGACAGCAACUAUAGUAUGAUGUGAGUAAAGAAUUUCUCCCUAGCUGAUGUAACAAUAUUGCGUGCGAGGUAUUCUUCAGUUAUGUUUGCUUUUCAUGACAACAGUUUUGUUGAUUUUUUUUUUGUUUGUUCACAAGGUUGCUUGGCAUUUCUUACAGGAUUGCUUGGCAGCAAGAACAGAUGUCUAACCAUGGUGAGGAGGUAGGGGUUUAAACUGUAUUUAGUUUCGGUAUCUAACUUUGUUUUGCUAUCUCAUAUCUACACCACAUUCGCUUUUCCUAGGCUAACGAUCAGGAGCAGAUGUCCAGCCAUGGUGAGGAGGUUAAUGAGCAGGAGCAGAUGUCUAGUCAUGGUAAGGAGGUUAAUGAGGAGGAGCAGAUGUCUAGUCAUGGUGAAGAGGUAAGGGUUUAAAUGAAACAAAAUACAAUUGUAUUGCUCUUUAUGACAACUGUAGCUGUAUUUAUUUUCUGUAUCUAACUUUGUUUUACCAGCUCUUAGUUUUCCACUACGUACCAUGAAAGUAAAUGCAAUAAAGAAGUGAUUGUUAAAUCAUGCCAUUGGGUUUCAACAGCGGUUCUCGGCCGAUCGCACAUCGCAGUUGGAAUUGCGACAGUGCAAAAAAAUUACAAUAGUCUAUUUAUCUGUUCACCUCCUUGUUGUAAUUCUUGUGAUAAUUGUGUCAGUUGAGCAAAACAAGAGGGAGCUUUUAUUACCACACCAUCAACUACCUGGUAUGAGCCCAGAAUAAAAUGAAAUCGUGGAAUUCGUCACAGUUGUCCCAAUUAGUUGUUGCACUUUACAACAAUGCAUGCAGAAGUGAUGACAUUUAACUGUCAUUUCCAAGAUUCUGUCUGGAAAAUUGGAAAAUAAACAAAUGGAUGCUUAAACCAUCCUCCUACCCAGCAUCUUUGCUCCCUUUGACCAGUUCAUUUUGUCAAGCCAGCAUACACAGUAAUGAAGACUCAAGGUACAAUAUUGAUGCUUAAACGUAAGACAUGGGUUGCACUGUGGACUUUUUUGUUUUUUGUCACACAAGUUUGUCGGGGCAUUUACCCUAAGAGGGGUCACACGUUUGCGACAUAAAAGAUAUAUGGUGUCAUUCUGAUCAUAAUCAUUAUAAUGUCGGCCCAAAGCUGAAAAGGACUUUCUCAUCACUAAAGCAUCAUCACUUGCUUUGGCUACACUUUUCUUUUAAGACAUCUUCUCUCCCGAGGAUGCUUCUUUGUGAAACUGAAGGCUGCUCUAGACUGGGAGGUAAUGACAAAGCUGCUUGUGACUGUGCGUUUUGCUGCUGAAAACAAAUCGGCUGCAAGUCAUUUCCAAUAUGCUACGAAAACUGAAAGCCUUGAAAUUCAUACGGGUUAAAGUGGUUGGCCAUACUGAAGAAUUACAAUUGAUUGUGACAAUUGGGAAAAUGUUGAAGAGCUCUGUACACAUGAUGUGCGCUUGUGUUGUGAUAUCUAAUUUAAUUGCAGAAUUUCAGAUUUUAUUGAUAUUGUCACAAAAGAAAAUAAAAAAUUUUUUAAGGCCAUUAGGCAAGAUGUGACCUGCUUCAUGACAGAAUAUCAGUCUCUUUGACCUUAAGGCAUCACGGACAUAGUUAUGUCUGAUGUGAUCGCGAUAUAAGGGUCGCACAUGUCGCGAGCAUGCGAUGACAGAAUUUAUGUCCAAUGUAAACAUUGAUCCUGUUCAUUUUUGCUAGAGAGCCACAGCAAGCUGAGUUUCCAUCGCAAGUGGAAACAGCCGAAGUCAAAAGGGAAACCUAAACACCCAGUGAAAGUCCAUGUUUGGGCAGGCAUAUCAAAGAGGGGGCCAACAGAAUUCAUGGAGUUUGAAGGCAACAUGGACGUGCAGUUUUGUCUCUGAUCUCCUCAGCAAUGGGCUGCCACCAUUUAUCCGAAGAACCUUCCCUGACGGUCAUCGAUUCCAACAAAACGAUAACCUGAAGCAUACCAGCCAUCUUGCCACCAACUUCAUGGAAGACUACAGGAUCAACUGGUGGAAAACCCCUUCUGAGUCACCAGAUCUUAACCCCAUUGAUACGCUUUGGCACGAGCGAAAGCACUUCCUUAGAAACAUCAUAAAACCGAGAACAAAGGAAGAGCUAAUCAAUGGGAUAGAAAGAUUUUGGAAUGAGAGAAUGGAUGCAGAAAAGUGUACGAAGUAUAUCAGGCACUUGCACAAAGUCUUGCCGAUAGUUGUUGAGCAGCAGGGAAAACCUUCCAGAAACUAGUUCCCGGCUGCACUCUUCAGACACUGACAAAAACAACUCCUUUAGGAGGCACUUCUAAUAGAAGUGAUGACCAACACUGUCCAGUACAUGUAAUCCCAUGAGAGAACAUUAAGUCAAAUUCUUAGUUUCAUUAUUAAUAGAAACUUUGAAUUCUCCAGGACAUUCGAUUGAAUCGAAACCUGGCCAUUUCUGUUUCUUCCUUUUUUUCGUUUGUAAGGAAACACAUGCAGAAUAACAUUUAUGACAACCAUGGUGUUUAUGUUGAUAAGUAAGAAAAUAACAGUGGUGACAUGAAUUUAUCACACUUUCUGCCGACCAUGUUUGAACUCACAUAUUUCCAAGGGAUACUCAGUAGAUGGCUGUAUAUUUAGGUUUUCUAUCAUCUUUGUUACCCAGACUGUGAAAGCUUUUAAGGGACACUUAAUCAAACAUAUUUUAAAUGUUAAUAAUGUAAAUUCUUAAUAUUC